AGUGAACGCUGGCGGUAGGCCUAACACAUGCAAGUCGAACGGCAGCACAGUAAGAGCUUGCUCUUACGGGUGGCGAGUGGCGGACGGGUGAGGAAUACAUCGGAAUCUACUUUUUCGUGGGGGAUAAUGUAGGGAAACUUACGCUAAUACCGCAUACGACCUACGGGUGAAAGCAGGGGAUCUUCGGACCUUGCGCGAUUGAAUGAGCCGAUGUCGGAUUAGCUAGUUGGCGGGGUAAAGGCCCACCAAGGCGACGAUCCGUAGCUGGUCUGAGAGGAUGAUCAGCCCCACUGGAACUGAGACACGGUCCAGACUCCUACGGGAGGCAGCAGUGGGGAAUAUUGGACAAUGGGCGCAAGCCUGAUCCAGCCAUACCGCGUGGGUGAAGAAGGCCUUCGGGUUGUAAAGCCCUUUUGUUGGGAAAGAAAAGCAGCAGGUUAAUACCCCGCUGUUCUGACGGUACCCAAAGAAUAAGCACCGGCUAACUUCGUG
rnacentral:rRNA from 1 species